GUCUCCGUGGCUUAGUCGGAAGAACACCCGACAGGUGCGAUAGAAUUCGGGUUCGAGCCCCGGUGAAGGCA